rnacentral:lncRNA from 1 species
CAGAAUCCUUCAGCGACUUCAGACCGAGAAGCGAGUAACCAUCAUGAAGACUCUGAGCCUCCUCGCUCUGCUGGUGGGCGCCGUUGCCAUCGCGGAAGGAUACCCAUCUGAGGAGGAGCAUGAGGACAUAGCCAAUUCUCGGCAGAAGAGAGAAAUGCCCGAAGAAUACAUGGAGGGAGACAUGGAGGACAUGUUUGGUCCCCCGCCCGGCGGAGUUGUCGUCAUGGU